GAUGAACGCUGGCGGCGUGCCUAAUACAUGCAAGUCGAGCGAACAGACGCGGAUCUUGCUCCUCUGACGUUAGCGGCGGACGGGUGAGGAACACGUGGUUAACCUACCUAUAAGACUGGGAUAACUUCGGGAAACCGGUGCUAAUACCGGAUAAUUUCUUGAACCGCAUGGUUCAAUAGUUAAAGACGGUUUUGCUGUCACUUAUAGAUGGAUCCGCGCCGCAUUGGCGAGUUGGUAAGGUAACGGCUUACGAGGGCAGCAGUGCGUAGCCGACCGGGGGGCGUGAAGCGGCACACUGGAACUGAGACACGGUACAGACACUGACGGGCGGCCGCAGUAGGGACUCGUCGGAGAUGGGGGAAAGCCUGACGGAGCAACGCCGGGCGAAUGAUGAAGGUCUUCGGAUGGGAAAACUCUGUUAUUAGGGAAGACCGAAUGUGUAAGUAACUAUGCACGUCUUGACGGUACCUGAUCAGAAAGCAACGGCUAACUACGUG
rnacentral:rRNA from 1 species